GUGGGCGCGGCGCCCCGCUAUUCUGCCGCACUCCGGUUUGUGGCACUGCGUUCGCUGAGAGGCAACGGAGUGAAGCCAGUUUCUUUCAGUGUGGCUGUGAAGCAUCAUAAGUAGAACACUGAAAGACCUCCAGACAUCUUCCAAGUCAUUCUGCCCUUCGAUGUGUAACAGCUGUGAUCUGUACAGUACAGCUGAGCUGGAAUACCAUGAAUGUGUUCCAUCUUCUGCUUUGGGAUACUUGAUGAGUUGCAGUCUCUUCCUGAUGUAAAACCAGAGGGAUCAAAUGAUGCUAUAAAGUCUCUUCCAGGAGAAAAACGAGGCUGAGUUCCCUUUUUUGGCAGUGACAUAAAAAGAGGGCAAAUCCAUACGGAUCAAAGGAAAUAGUAUUACGUAAAACCAGGAACAGAGGGUAGAGUACGUGUGUUCUCCUCCCUUAAUAGGUAUCAGAGAGAUUAGCUUACGAAAAACCCAGAGAGCUCUGUUUUCAGUAUCUACAGCAAUUACAAACUCUUUUUGAUACCUUGGCAUGGUGACUGGGAGAAGCAGAGAUAACAUACAGGGCACUUCACUCUUGCCAGUGGAUAAGGUCCAAGUCGGUUUUUAAUGCCUGAAAAUUCCUGCUCUUUGGCUUAUAUGUCACUCUCAGCUCAUCCCAGGAAGAAUCACAAAUCCUUUUUGAAGAUGUGAAGCAAAAGAAUGUUUUUCCCUCCUGACUGUGAAGCCAGUUGUGGGCUGUUGCAAAGCUGUUGAAUUCCAGGGAUAGGGAGUGCUGGUAUGGAGCACUGGGUGCAGUAAAAGAAGUGGGCCUUAUGUAGGUAGUGUAGGGCAAUACGUGGAAGCCAACUGCUAUUUUUAUAACAUGUACUUCACACAGUCCUUCUGUAGCAUUUUUCAGUUUGGGAACUUGAGGAUGUUCUACAGCAGGGAGUUUUAUUAUGGUGAUUUUAGGGUUGAGAAGAGAACCAAGACGAAAGACAGGAGGUAGAAAAUCUUGAACAAAUGCCAGGUGAACGUUCAUAGAAUCACAGAAUCAUUAAGGUUGGAAAAGACCUUUAAGAUCAUCUACUCCAACCAUCAACCCAUCCCCACCACGCCCACUAAGCUGUAGAUGUCAGUGCCAAGUCCACGAGUUUCUUGAACAUCUCCAGGGGCAGUAACUCUACCAUCUCCCUGGACAGCUUGUGCCAAUGCAUUAGCACUCCUGAGAAGAAAUAUUUGUUAAUAUUUCACCUAUUCAAGGCUUUGACAGCCCUCUGCUCUUGGUGUUAGAGACAACAGCUUCUGCUCAUGUAUACUCCUUUUGUUUACAGUCUGCAUAUAGUUUGACAUGGAAAAGCAAAUCUUUAUCCCUUUUCAAUUGCUACAGCUUAGGACUGCAUUUGUUGGGAAAGCUAGGAUGUUAGAUCCUGUAAUAGAUACCACCUAGAACAGGAAAGAAUAUCACCUCCCUCUUAUUUUGUUCUUUCUGUGAGAUCUUCUGUGCCCACCACCAUUUUUGAUGAGUUGCAACAAGAGCUAUGCCCUUCCCUUUGAAAAACACAGGUGUUGCUUCAGCAGCAAUUAAUACACACACACUGGGACAGUUUGCUUGUGGACAGUACAAUGUCCUUUGCGUCGGAGAAGGAUCACACAAUUAUCUAGAUUGGAAGAUGAACCUUCAGGGUCACCAACUCCAACUGCCAAAGCUCCCUCCCAUCCUUAUUCAGAAUUAAAGAAAAAGGAACAGAGAUGGAUCCAAACAAGCUAUUUUUCCUCAUCUGUGCAUGCCGUAUGGCUGCAGUCACCAGAGGAUGGAGUUACUCACAGCACACUAAAGCAGGCAAUAAAACCAGCAGCGGUUCAGGUAAAGCAAACUGUGUUCCUCCAUGAAGUCUCUAUAUAAAUGCCAUUUAGAAAGGCAGUCAGAAUGGGAUUCAUGUCUUCUGAAGGGUGGUUCACUUAACAGGGGACACAGAGUACCCUAGGUGACUGUAUGUAACUAUUUCUGUCAACCUCCUGGCUGUAAUUACAGGUCUCACCCCUGUUGGCUUGUCCCCUGCCUUUAAUGAGAUCACUUUGAGAGAUAAGGCUGUCACUCCAUUAAAUCUGACUGUGGCCUGAGCAAAGAUGGUGAUCCACUAAAGCCAGUCAGGCUUGGCUAAGGUUCUCUGUGUGCUUUCUUUCCUCCCUCUGAUGAUGGAUGCAUCAUUUUGCAUUUCUGACAGUGUUUUGCAUUUUUCAGAAGCCUUUCAACUAGGUCAUUCAAAUGCUGUUUGCACAAACAAGACAAAGUGUCCUUAAAGGCCCUUUGAACAUGAGGUCUCUAUCCUUUGCCGUUGCAGAUGAAUGGUCCUACCUUCAUUCAGAGCCAUGGCUGUGUGGGUUGCAGAGGCGAAGGGCAGAAAUAUCAAGCAUUCCACUCAUUUUGAGUGCCUCAGUGUUAUGCUUGCACAAAACUCCUAAAAAAUUCCUAGGCACUUGGGUCCUGUCGUAGGUGGGAAAUUCAGCUGCUCAGCUUUUCUCAAUAAGGAAAAGGCGUCUCCAAACAGGACAUGGUUUUCCCAGCACCAGCCCCUGAACCUAGGGUGAGAUGGAUCACACAGAAGUCCCUGUGGUUUCUUCACUAAACUUGACCCAGUUCAAAGACCUGAACUUUGGAGUGAGACAAAGUUAGGGGCCGUGAAUUUCAUUGCAACUUGUCUUUCUUCUUGGAAAACUCUUGGCAGAGCUAGGAUCUGCCCCAUUUCUGCUUUGGUUCUCAUAUCUGAGGUAGCCCGGGGUAACCUCUGCUUAGAUCCACUAUUCACCAGAUACCAAUAGUUCCUUUUAAUGUCUUUCUGGGAGCAGCUCUGGGGAAAUGCAACUUUACACUCGUUCAACACACACUUUUACUAGGAUCACACCAUCAGUUUCUCAACAGUUGAAAUUGUGGUAAAUUCGCUGACUUGUACUUUGGGAUUUUUCCCUAAUGGAGCAAGGAGUCUACUGCCAAGCUCUACUCUGGGCAUGAUCCUGUUGCUUUCUUUGUUCUUUCUCACAGGCUGCUGGAAAAAAUGGCAUUCCCUGAGGCUGUAUUGUGCACAUUUGUCUAUCCAAGAUGCAAUUACAGAGGAGCCUGCAGACUGGGGAACAGCACUGAGUAGAAAGUCCCAAGAAAAUGUUCUUUGUUCCUUGAAUGACACUGCCCUGAACACAGGUGUCUGCCAAGUACAUGCCUUACCAGCAGCCCAGCUCCCUAUACCCACCCCCAUGUGGUUUUAUGUAUUUUUUUCAAUUAUAUAGUGUUUAGAUAGGUUAAGACCUCAGCUUGCCAGCACAUAGCUAUUGUCUGCAUGGGCAUGUCCUCAAGAAACAACGCAAAGAGCCCAUUAUGGUUUGGGAUAGACCUGAGCUGUGUAAUUGAGAUCUACCCUUAAGCCUCAAGAUGUUCUGCUCUAAUGCUCAGACCCAGCAGACUCCUCUCUUGCAGAUAAAAGCAAAAAACCACCAGACCCAGCAUUUCCAGAGCUCAGUUUUCCCAGUUUUAACAAGCCCAAGGAGUUUAUUUUGGCUUGAUGGCUCGGUGUCAGAGUUCAGAUUCUGCUUCGUGUGUUGAGGAGGAGGGCUGGAUGUUCCAAGCCUGGUAAUUGCAAUGAAAGUACUUAGUGAGUUUAGCAAAUACCUGCAAAAAAAUUCAUUGCAAGACAGGUCAGUAAAAGUCAUUUUCUUUGUGCCAGCAUAGCAAUAUUGUUAAGGAAUGCUUUUUUUAAUUGUUCAUUUUGGCAGAUAAGUUGAAAUUUCCAUAAUGGCAAAAAUGUUUGUGCAAAUGCUGUUAAAUGCACUUAUAAGUCUUUUUGCCAAUCUCUUGCCAUUUUUGUUUCAUUUAUCGAGAUCAGCUAAGCAAGUUCAGCAACAGAACUCUUCUGGUAACAGUAAAAGCAGUAAUCCCACAAGGAAGGUUUGCUAGGAUAGCUCUUCUGGAAUACUUUCAUUUGGAAAUUUUAACAAUGAGAUCCCACUGGAAUUAAAAUUUAUAUAGAUUGUGCAAAGAACUAGCAAUAAAGACAGCUUACAACCAA